rnacentral:rRNA from 1 species
AUUGAACGCUGGCGGCAGGCCUAACACAUGCAAGUCGAACGGUAACAGGAAGCAGCUUGCUGCUUUGCUGACGAGUGGCGGACGGGUGAGUCAUGUCUGGGAAACUGCCCGAUGGAGGGGGAUAACUACUGGAAACGGUAGCUAAUACCGCAUAACGUCGCAAGACCAAAGAGGGGGACCUUAGGGCCUCUUGCCAUCGGAUGUGCCCAGAUGGGAUUAGCUAGUAGGUGGGGUAACGGCUCACCUAGGCGACGAUCCCUAGCUGGUCUGAGAGGAUGACCAGCCACACUGGAACUGAGACACGGUCCAGACUCCUACGGGAGGCAGCAGUGGGGAAUAUUGCACAACGGGCGCAAGCCUGAUGCAGCCAUGCCGCGUGUAUGAAGAAGGCCUUCGGGUUGUAAAGUACUUUCAGCGGGGAGGAAGGGAGUAAAGUUAAUACCUUUGCUCAUUGACGUUACCCGCAGAAGAAGCACCGGCUAACUCCGUG